GCAUGCUCAGUUGCAUGCACUGCUCAAACUGCACGUCAACUGCUCACACCUUUGCGGUGGUCUUUCCAUCUACCUGGGGCCUGCAUUGCUGUCUGGUGCGCUCCUGCCUGUCUCCCAGGUGACACCUACAUCUCCUUCAAACAGAGGCCCUCAGCCUCGAAGCUCAGACCCAGGGCAGGCGCUUCUUGUGUUCACAGUGACACUGGUUUUCAGCAGAAGCUCCACGUGGAAUCAGAUGACACAGGAGAAAUGGAAGACUGCAAAUCCUGACAUCCCAUCCCCUUGUCACACACCACCUCAAGAAAACCAGAACACGGCAACAUAAUGUAAAUAAAACAACAGCAGUGCCCAGUAUUACCAA
ensembl:processed_transcript 4930447N08Rik uncharacterized LOC110291002